AUUUUUAAGUUUUCAUAAUUCUAUUUAUCUCCCUUUCCUUAACAUGGUGAGGACAAUGUUAGAUCUCCAUAGCUGGGUAAUAUUGAUAUUUAGGAAGAUUUGUUAGCCAGGUUCUGCUUUUUAUACUUAGUCUUGUCCUUAAACUGACGAUAUGAUUCCACUUUGCGAAGAGUAGAGAAUAUAAGACUGCAUUCCUCAGGGUGCAAGUUUUUAAUUCCCUAAAAUUGAAAAAUAAGAGAACUUCUUAAUAACUGGAAUUUACAUUUUCCCUAUUUAAAACCUUGUCUUGGCUGGGCGCAGUGGCUCAUGCCUGUAAUCCCAACACUUUGGGAGGCUGAGGUGGGUGGAUCAUGAGGUCAGGAGUUCAAGACCAGCCUGGCCAACAUGGUGAAACCCCAUCUCUACUCAAAAUACACAAAUUAGCUGGGCAUGGUGGCAUGUGCCUGUAAUCCCAGCUACUUGAGAGGCUGAGGCAGGAGAAUUGCUUAACCGGGACCCGGGAGGCAGAGGUUGCAGUGAGCCAAGAU
rnacentral:lncRNA from 10 species